ensembl:misc_RNA Metazoa_SRP Metazoan signal recognition particle RNA
GCCAGGUGUGGUGGCAGACGCCUGUAAUCCCAGCUACUCGAGAGGCUGAGGCAGGAGAAUCGCUUGAACCUGGGAGGCGGAGGUCGCAGUGAGCCGAGAUUGCACCACUGCACUCCAGCCUGAGUGACAGACUGUUUUGUUUGUUUUUGAGACAGAGUUUUAUUCUUGCUGCCCAGGUUGGAGUGCAAUGGCGCAAUCUCGGCUCACUGCAACCUCCGCCUCCCAGGUUCAAGUGAUUCUCCUGCCUCAG